CUUUUUAUUGGAUAAUGAUAUCUUUAGUUGUCUUGUAGCUCACCUUUUGCUGAUGAGAUGUAGCAACUAGGCUUGCUCAAAUAAUUCGAUUUCCCCGUUACCCGUUAUUAAUUCAUUACUUUCGUUUCUUUUGAAGCAAUAUACGGCCUUGAUUGUCCACACAUCUGGAUAUCGCGGUUUCGAACCGCGAGAGGCCGUUUUUUGUUAUGUCGUCGUUUUGUUCGUAAGGAAAAAAAGCUUUUGCAAAUCACCCAAACUCCCACCAUUCCUAACAGCCUCAGGCCCUUUCCUUUUGCCCCUCAGCAAAAGGGGCGUCACGGGCUCAGCCAAUGGGAGGGGGCGAGGGGGAAGGAGGCCAAGGAGGAGGAGGAAGACAGAGGGGGGAAAUGGCCGCCGCCGCCGCCUCGCCUCAGCUCAGGCCUGGUGUCUCUCUGUGAGGCGGGAAGGCGGCGGAUGGAGCCGGGAAUGGAGAGACCGAGAGAGACAGAGACACGCAGAGAUGGAGGCUGGCGUGGGGCCCGGCGGUGAGGAGGAAGAGGCCCGGGAUGUGAGGGGGUGUGGGCCAGGCCCGUCCUCGGCUGCUCCCGGGGAGGGAGGGAGGACUACGACUCCCAGGGGCCCAGAUUCGCACCCUCCCUCCCCCCAAUACAGGUCUCCAUACGACGCUACAUGAACUUGAAUGGAUACUGUGGUUGUGUUGUCGAAAGCUUUCAUGGCCGGGAUCACACUGUUGUGUACUUUAUAUCAUCUUUCUGGAAAAUCAUCCUCAAACUGGUUUAAGGAUAAAGGUAAAAGGAAAUGCAUAGAGACUGAGCAACUCAGAAAUGAAGAAAAAGAUGGUAGAUGACAAUCUUCUACUGUUUAAAGAGCUGUCCAUUUCAAGAUCCCUUUAAAGUAUAACAAAAAUACAGGACACUUUGGAUGCAUCCACACUGGAUAGCUACAGUGAUUUAAUACCAUUUCAAUUGCCUCACCUCCAUCCUGUGGAAUCCUGGGACCUGCAGUUUGCAAAGAUAUUUUGAAUUCUAUAAUGCAGUUCCUGUUGCACCCCUAGGCUGUGUAGGCACCUCAAAACCACACUGAAGCCCCAGAAUAUAGCAAGCAAGCUGUUUAUUGAAGAUUAUAUGCAAGCAAUAGCAAAAUCAAAGUUCAAAGUCAAUAAAAUGGGUUUGAGUCCAAAAGAACAAAGUACUUGAAAAUAUUGAAGCAAGAGUCUAUAAAAGUCACUCAAAGAACAUAGUCCAAACUGGAUAUCAAAGUAAGUCCCAAGAAAGGUACCAAGAAUAAUCCAAACAAGAUAUCAAGGAUUAAUUCCAAGGCAUGAGUCAAACUGGAAACACAGGAAACAAGACUAGGAUCAAACUCCAAGGUAGUCCAAGGUACAAAGUCAAUGCUGGAACACAAGGCAAGGGUCUUGGCUAGAAGAGAAUUUUUUUUUUCAUGUCAGGAGCGACUUGAAAAACUGGAAGUCACUUCUGGAGUGAGAGAAUUAGCUGUCUGCAAAGACGUUGCCCAGGGGAUGCCCGGAUGUUUUGUUGUUUUACCAUCCUUGUGGGAGGCUUCUCUCAUGUCCCUGCAUGGAGCUGGAGCUGAUAGAGGGAGCUCAUCCAAGUUCUCCCCAGGUGGGAUUCGAACCUGGCAGCUUGCAGAUCAGCAGCUCAACCUUCAAGUCACAAGGCUUUAACCCACUACUCCACCGGGGACUCCAUAGAAUAGAAAUACAAACAGCAAAGUCACUGGAACAUUCAACUGGAUUCACAGGCAGAAGCGAGGCUGGAACUUGAGGCAAGAUACAAGGCUGCACAGGAACAUGGAGCAAAGAUCUUUAUCUCUUGGAUUAGCAAUGUUACUACUUCUGAUUGUGGCAGAGAAAACAACCCUUUUAAAGAGAAAUUCAAGGUCCCUGGCCAUGAGAAGGUUGUUCAUUAGUUCGCUUCAAAAGCAAAAGUCUGCUCCUUCAGACAUACUCCUUUCCUUUCCAUUGCUGAGUUAUCGCCCUCCCCCUGUCAAGCUCAUUAUCCUUCUCCACUUUACCAGCUCCUACAUCCAAACUAGAAUGUCCAUCUGGAACCUGGAGAUCUGACCUUGACUGCUGUGAGGGAUGUGAUUCAAACUGCCUGCUUGCAACCAUUCUGUCUCUGGUCCCAGAAUCCACUGGGACAAACUCUGGCUGCAUCUCAGGCCCAAACCCAGAGUCCUCUGACAAGGCAGGUGUAGGUACAAUCACCGGCUGAAUGGGGCCAAACUCAGGCUCACCUGACAGCUCAGAUGGAGGCUAAGCUACAACAGUUCCUGGAAUAACAACAUCAGUGUUGGACAACUUUGGCAGAAAAUUCUAAGGACCUCACAAAACUACUAAUAUGAGGAUUCAAUAGGAUAAAGUAAUUGAAGUUAAGUAGAAUCAACAUACUAGAACCAUGUAGUGUGGGUGUUUCCCUGAUCAACAUCUUCUCUUUUGCUAUGGUUAGUUGAAUUUCUCCUUGAAUUAUAAUAAGUAUAUCCAAAUUUGCACCUGUACUGUCAUCUUCCAUUUUUCUUCUUUUGGUAUGGGAGGAAGAGAUAUGCAACUGACAAUCUUAACACAAAUGUGUUCAACAGAGAUUUAAGUUACUUUGUGCAAAGAAAGCAGGCUGUUUGGUGUUUAUAAACCUGAUCCUGGCCCAUAACUAUUUUCAUGUUACAGAUGUAAUUUUUUAAAAGGUUAAGCCAUAACACAAGUAGUAGGAUGAGUUUCAUGAAAAUUUGGAGAUGCUAGUGGCAGGAGGAUUAUAUUGAUGAUACCAGUGGGUAAGAUUACAUCAGUGUAAUAAUAAUAGUAACAUUUCUUACUCACAUUAAGUAAAAUAGUCAUAUUAAAAUGCAUUUCUAUGAUAUACAUUUCUACAAAAUACAUUUAUUAAAAUACACAGAACAAAUAUUAAAAUACAAUAAACACAAAACAUGGGUUUAAAAUUCAUAGUAAAAAUUGACUAAGUAGGCCCAAAAACUGCUUGAACUAUGUGUUGUUCAUCCUUUUUCUGUUACACCUGAACAUCUUUGGGACAAUAAGAGUUCUUUGAAGAAGUGAGAACUGUGCAUUUUAAGCUUUCAAUCUAAACCGGGUUAUCCUACUGCUUCCUCUGGAACUGAAAAUGCUAACAAAGGGCAAGGAAGACUAAAAAUCAAGGCUAAGUUUUGGAAUGAAACAGUCCAUAACAGAGUUUCUCUAAUCUGCCAUUUUUGAUAGACUGUUUUUGAAUAUUAGAAUUUACAUGCUUCACAAGUAAGAGGUCUUGGUUUAGUCUGUGGAAUCUCUAGGGGAAAGGAAAUCCAUGUGUUGCAGCCAGUCAGUGUACAAGGAGCUAAGUGAGCAAAUGAGGCAAUUGUUAUAAGGAAAGUGCACAUCAGCUCAUGCAUACACACAGUUAAGAUGGAAGUCCAGAUAAAAACAUCUUCCAAGUGCAAUGUACAUAUUUUGUUUGUGUUCAAACAUGCAACACAAUUUCAUUAACUGUGCUGUACAGAUGCGGCAAUCCUUAUCCUAUGCAUUCCACAGUGGAUUGCAUUUAUAAUAACUAUAUAAAUAACUGGAGCUGGGGAGCUCUAUUUGACUUCUAUAGGUUGCACCACUAUUGAAUUUGUUUCUGGAAAAUAUAGCUACUAAAAUCCAUUGUCACAGGGUGUGCUUACACUGUAGAAUUAAUGCAGUUUGACAUCAAUUUAAUUGUAAUGGCUCAGUGCUAUGGAAUCCUGUCUGAGGCACCAGCACUAUUUGGCAAAGAAGACUAAAGAUCUUGUAAAACUACAAAUCCAAUGAUUCGUAGCACUGAGGGAUAGACGUUAAAUUGGUGUCGAACUAUAUUAAUUCUACAGUGUAAAUACAGACACAAGUUUCUAUUUUAUUUGCUGUAAUUCAGAACUGGAAAUUUCAAAGUAUGUCUGUGUAUAGUAUUGUUAUCAUUUCUGGCAAUGUAAUUUUGGGUGUAUUACUGCCACCAAUUUUGACAAUGUCAUUUUGUUUUCAGCUGUAGCAGUGUCACUAUUCCCACUGUUGUUUCAGCAGUGACAAAUAGGCCCUGACAUAUAACCUCAAUGGUAAUAUUAAUGUUCAAUGGGUUGCCAGGAAUGGGACAAAUAUUCUAAAAUAUCUGGAAAAAUGACUAGAAAUUCUUGCAAGGAGAAUCCAGGACCAAGUUUCUUUGUAGUUUCAGGUUUAUUUUGUAUCAAAUUUACUCUUAGACAGAGAAAGGCAGCUUUACUUGGUUUAAAGUUUCUAUUUUGUGAUUGCUUCUGUAGAGCCUCUUGGCAAUGGCAAUGUUUUUUCACCCUGUGCAAAUAAAAUGCAUGACAAUUUUCUAAAAUAUCCCAUUGAACAUUCAUAACGGAGAGUGUUCCUCCAAGCAUUUUCAGUUUAUCAUCUAAUUUUUGUAACUCGUAGCGCCUAAGUGUCCAAUUCAACAUCAAAUUCCUUCUCUGUGAAUUUAAUAGCACUUAGUAAGGCACUUAUGGAAAUUUCACAGGUAGAACCAAUUUCUGUCAUAUUCCCCAGGGUAGAAAUUACAUGAAGUGGAAUAGAAUAUGAAGCCAUGGAGUGAUAACUCCCUAGAGAUACGUCCUGUCUAUCUUCAGUGUAUUAGCAAUCAUGCUCACCUGAGCUUUGCAUAUAUAUAUAUAUAUAUAUAUAUAUAUAUAUAUAUAUAUAUAUAUGAUUGGGUGGCCAUUUGCUUACCAGCGAAAAGAUGGGUACAAUUCGCUCUGUGAAAUCCAAAUCAGAGGAAUCAGACCUUCAAAGGCUUCUGGCUUCAGUUGACGGCUCCUUCCCAAAUUUGGGCUGCUAGUAGCAGAUGUAACUGAUGAGGAAUUGGAGAAACUAGGUCCCCAUAUCAGACACAAUCAGAGGACACCAAGGAGACACCCCCAUACCUUGCAGAAUUUUAAAGAGAAUGGAAAAACCAUCAAAGGAGGCUUGCAGUCUGAAAUAAAAGAAUGCUGACCAAAGAGCCACUAGGUGUUACAAGGUAUAAAUUGCCCAAUAGCCUGCUGGAAAUUCUUAUAUCUCACAAAUAUUUGUUCUACAAGGCUUUCUGUGCUCUUUAUGUUCAUGAAUUUAUUUUGAAUAUCCUAUUUUACUUAGUUGUGAUGAUUGCUCUUGUAAUAGAUUCAGAAAAGGCUGAGACUUACAACUGUGCCUCCCUUCAACUUUGGUGCACACCCUUAGUUAUUCGUGUAUGACCUUGAGUAGCCUGAUUUACUUCUAACACCUCCACUAUAUCCUGCCUCCUCUGGCUAUUGUCAACUCUGACUGGCAACAGCUGUCUCUAGGGAUCUGGGCUAGAAAAUGUUCCUAGUUUCACCUGAAAAUCCUGCAUAUUCUCCAAGUGCUAAUUUGGUCCAGCCUGCUUAGCCUCCAAAGUCAAAUGAGAUGAAGCGUGUUCAAGGUGAUGUUAUCAUAUCUCUGCUAUAGCAAGGGUUUUCAAAUCCCUGCUAUAAAAUCCUCCAAUAUCCUUUUUUUUAGCAACAUGGUAUCAUUUCAUGAAUGUACAGUACAAGCAAUAUUAUCCCACAGUUGACAAAUUAGAUACACAGGGUUCCUAUUAUGGAAACAUAUAAUUAAUUCUCUUUAUGGAUAAAUAAGGUUCACUGGUAAUUUUUCUAGAUAGGAAGAUAGGUUGGAUGAUUCAGACAAUGGUGAUGCAUAAGAAUAAACAUUAUGCAGAUGGAAUAUACAGGUGAGCUAGACUCAGAUAAAAUGGUGCAGUAGAAAUUCUCAAAAUUCAAGUCAACUUUGUAAAACUCUGUUUAGGGAGAUGAACUAAAAGCCUAUUUUGAUGACAAGCAAUAUAGGCAGUACAAAAAUAAUGUGCUAGUUAGUACUGAAACACACACGUACACAACUUUUUCAGGAGCAGCACAUUAAUCUCAUUCAUUCAUACAGGAUGGAACUUGUUAUUAAUGCUCCAUAGAUUGUAUGCAAUUUUGCAAGACGUUGCUUAUAACAACAGAUUCCAUGAACACUUCUAUAAAAUGGAGAGGUGGAAACUAAGGGCACUCAUGGAGAAUACAGUAGUUUUGCAUGCAGCACAGAAUCUGUAUUCUUCAUAACAUUUUGUUCAUGUAGAACAAUAAAAUGUUUCAGAUCUGAGGGUGUCUUAUGUUUGUUGUCAUUUAUAAGGGAAAUGCACAAGUCACACAAUUAAACAAACAAUAAUGAUUUCUAUAUGUCUGCAAGUGGAAUUCUGUAAAAAAGAAUGGAUUAUUUUGUCAACUCACAUUCUAUUCUUGUUUUGCACUUCAGGUGGGGCGGGGUUGCAGAGUUAAAAUGUUUCAUCACACCAUAGCCUUAAUGCGUUGAAAGUUUCCUGACAAGUGAUCAAAGCCAACGUGAGCAUAAAUGCUUUGCAGAUAAAGCUGGUAAAGGCUGAUGAUGAUGUGCUUGUAUUGAAGAUGGGAGAAGAACUGACACACUAGUUUGUAACAAGAAUAACUUUGACAACUGCUGCAUCCAUGGAAACAAGAGUCCAGGUCUCAUGAAAAGCCAAAGAAUAAAACUCUCAGUAAAUGUUGUAUAUGUUGUGAGUGUAUUCAAAAUCCAGACUGAAGUGAUCCUCUACAAUAUCAACAUUGCCAUCUCCUUUUUAUAAAGAACAUCUUCUGGUAUUAGCAAGAUAUAUGUAAGGAGGGGAAGGGCUGUUAUCAGAAAUUUACUAAUUUAUUCCAAUUACAGUUUGCAAAGGAACACACUGUUCAACAGAAGAGCUGUAUUAUUCCUACCCCCAUGUUCACCUUAUAAACCUACUCUUAAAAAGGAUAGCCUUCUAAACAAACAUGAAGCUUGCUCAGUACUGCCCUGAACAGACAUCUGUCACUUAACAGAUGUCACCCUAAUAACUCAUCCAUACAACUCCACUCUCCAGUAAACAAGAACAAUAGAUCUGAUUUGAUGGAUUUACUGAGUGGAGUCUGGGUAAAAGAUUCUCGAUUGCCUAAGCUCUGGCUGCUCUGCAUAAUCACUGCUUAGUUUACAGCAUGAUUUCCCAUAAUAGGCUUCCCCUCAAAGGGCUUGCAUGUUCGUUCGUUUCUCUCUCUCUCUCUCUCUCUCUCUCUCUCUCUCUCACACACACACACACACACACACACACACAAUUUUACUAAAGUAACCAUUUGCUCCACUUCCCACCCUCCCUCUUGAACAUCUGUUAGGGAAAAUCAUGUUCUUCUCCCUUCUAUAUUUCUAUAAGCCCCUUUUGUGUUUGUGGAUGUUUGGGAUCAUAAGGAUGAAACUGCAGCUCCUAAAUGGAUACCUAUUUCUGUUAAAUUGUAUUUAUUUAGAACUUUCAUUUUGAGCCAUAAACACAAUGAACAUGCCUGAUUUGAUCCUAAAUCCUUUCCCAUCUCAUCUGUGAUCCUCAGCCAAGUCCUAUUGAACUGUCUGGCUGUGUCUUUGGAUGUGAGUAGGGUGAAGCCCUAGGUCACUAGUUUUUAUGGGUGACUACUUGUCUCAGCUAUAGUGGGAUUAGAGCCUUAAAUUCUGUUAUCAAAUUUCAACACAAUCCCCAUGCAGCUGUUUUUAGUGGGGCUUAUUCCCUAAGUGAGCUUGAUAAUAACCGAUGCCUCAAACAAUAGUUAUGCAGUUGUUAAUUGCCAUCGCAUGAGCUUUGGCUUGUGGUGACCUUAUUAAUGGAAGACCUCCAAAAGACUUUAAAUGGUCCUGGUAACAGCCCUUGCAAACCCGGGGCUUCCUUGUCUGAAUCUUUCCACCUGUAAUAUGGUCUUCCUCUUUUCCUAUUGCCUUUGACCGUAAUAAGCAUUAUUGUCUUUUCUAAUGCCAUGUUAUAUCACUAAGAAACAAUAGAUGUUGUUCAUCCAUGACACUUAGUGUUUUAGUUUUUAAAAGAAUAGCCAGAAUAUUUACCCCUAUUGUUUUGAGGGGAAAAAACACACAAUCAGCACUGCUGAUUUCCAACCUUUUAUUUUAAUUUAGCCCAGCAGCGGUCACAGAAGGGAGGGGCUGAUGGGUUCAUUGAUGACUUAGAGUCAGAUGGGAUUGUGGGUUUUCCUGGGAUUCAUUCUCAUACAGGCCCUAGGAUUCAUCCUCAUGCAGAGCCAGAAAGUGAAACUGCUUUAGACAGAGAGACAGGAACAGAUGGGCCUGAGGAUGUAAAUGCCUUUGAACCUCAAUGCCAGUCAUGGAAGAGGGAAUCAUCCUCUCCAGAUAAGGAGUCUAGUGAAGAUGAAUUGAUGAGAAUUUCUCAUGUGAACAUACCUGGUGAUGUUGGCUUAAGCCAGAAGCUCACCUGUAAAUUCAAGUAGAUAGCCAGCUUCGUAGGUCAACAUGCCUUUGUGAGAGACAAACAUUCCAGGGUAGAUGUAAUGCUUUCAUGAAUGUUUAUUAGGACCUGAUGGGCACUCUGCUCUUCAGUUCAGGCAAUGUGGCUUUCAAGUUACAACCAGGCCUGGGAUCUCUAGUUCUUGUUUUGGUUUUGGGAUUCAAGUAUUCUGGGACUUUUUUGAUGUUCAUGUUAUGUAUCCUUGUUCACGUUUUGCUUAUGGACUUCAGUUGCUUUUGGAUUUUGGGACUAUUUUGGAACCUGGUCAUUGCCCCAUUGAUGGAGCAUAUUGUAACUGGAUUUUAAUUUUUGUGGUUGUUUUGAAUUGUAUGUUCCUGUUUUAUGUUUAUUAUUUUUACUAUGCUUAAUUUGUUGUAUGAUUUCUUUUUCGGCAACUGAAUGUUUUGCUAUGUUGGAAAUGAAUUUUGAAAUAAUCAAUUCUAUGCUAGAGUGAGACCCGGAAGCUCUUGCAAAGUUCAGGCUGUCAAGUUGCAUUGCAGUAGCUCAGAGAACGUAGAAUGAACUGGCUUAAAGAUUGAAAAGGUUACUUUGGGGACCACAAUAUCUAUGUUGUCUGCAGGAUUCUGAAAGGUGCAAAAAAGAAGUCUAAAAAGUAAUUACCAAACUCUAGACUGGUUUAGUUAACUUUACCAAGAGGCUUCUGGUUUUAGAUCCUGGAAAAUAUAAUAUAUCAUUGAGUUAAAAGCACAUAUCAUAUCAUUUGAUAACUGUUUGAGAAAUGACUUUUGAGAAACAGUAUUCAAAGCUCUUGACAAUUUGAACAUCAGUUUAAAUGAAUUGUUCACAAUCGCUGCUAUAUUUUCAUUUCAGUCCUUUCUUUACUUCUUUGUUGAAGAUAUGCGUAUUUUCAUGUACAGAUAAUGUAAUUCCUGCUUUAAUGCAAUAGCAAUCAGAUUGUUCACUUUAUUUACUGCUACUUACCAAGCAAUUGUUCUGGCAUUCAAUAAGCUGUAUAUGUGCAAAUGUAUUUGUGUAGAACACGCUUCAUUCUGUUCUGAUAGCUUUCUGAUAGCUCAAUGUACUCGAACCUUUUUCACACAAAAAGUAAUAAUAUUGUACAUAAAAUUACUGUCAGCUUAUGUACAUAAGGUAUAUAUGAAAUAAAUGAAUAUCAUAUUUAGAUUUGGACACAA